GUAUUGCCUAACACAAGGACAUUUCUGUGCC
rnacentral:piRNA from 1 species